rnacentral:rRNA from 1 species
CAGUCGCCACGGUAAUACGGAGGGAGCUAGCGUUAUUCGGAAUUACUGGGCGUAAAGCGCACGUAGGCGGCUUUGUAAGUUAGAGGUGAAAGCCUGGAGCUCAACUCCAGAAUUGCCUUUAAGACUGCAUCGCUUGAAUCCAGGAGAGGUGAGUGGAAUUCCGAGUGUAGAGGUGCAAUUCGUAGAUAUUCGGAAGAACACCAGUGGCGAAGGCGGCUCACUGGACUGGUAUUGACGCUGAGGUGCGAGAGCGUGGGGAGCAAACAGGAUUAGAUACCCCCGUAGUCCCUGUCUCUUAUAC